rnacentral:rRNA from 1 species
UACGAAGGGGGCUAGCGUUGUUCGGAAUUACUGGGCGUAAAGCGCAUGUAGGCGGCCAUUCAAGUCGGGGGUGAAAUCCCAGGGCUCAACCCUGGAACUGCCUUCGAUACUGUCUGGCUCGAGUGUGGAAGAGGUUGGUGGAACUGCAAGUGUAGAGGUGAAAUUCGUAGAUAUUUGCAAGAACACCGGUGGCGAAGGCGGCCAACUGGUCCAUUACUGACGCUGAGAUGCGAAAGCGUGGGGAGCAAACAGG